UACAGAGGUGGCAAGCGUUGUUCGGAAUUACUGGGCGUAAAGGGCGCGUAGGCGGUUCGUUAAGUCCUGUGUGAAAUCCCCCGGCUCAACUGGGGAACUGCACAGGAAACUAGCGGGCUUGAGUUCGGGAGAGGGAAGCGGAAUUCCGGGUGUAGCGGUGAAAUGCGUAGAUAUCCGGAGGAACACCGGUGGCGAAGGCGGCUUCCUGGACCGACACUGACGCUGAGGCGCGAAAGCUAGGGAGCAACGGG
rnacentral:rRNA from 1 species